GGUGCUAUAGUGUAGUGGUUAUCACUCGGGAUUUUGAUGCAUCACGUUCCCGAAACCCAGGUUCGAACCCUGGUAGCACCU